GAGCCCAGUCGUGACUGGCGUGCAAGGGUGGAUUCAACCACCGGGGAGCGACCGAACGGCACGGCACCGUGCGCCUGGGUGCCACCG
rnacentral:ncRNA from 2 species